CUCUCUGUAAUAAAUAUUUUGAAAUUGUCAUAUGAAGAGUCAACCAAAGAGUAUGUAGCCAAAAAGUGUAGGAAAAAAGGUAUUGUACUGCUGUGAUCCCCUAACCAGCCCCAGAAGCCAGAGGAGAUUCCCCUCAACCCUGUAGGACUUGCUGUUGGCUUCCUGGUAGAGCUCAUUAAGCAACACGUCCCUUUUGAUUAAAUGCCUGGGAGCUACUUAAGAUGCCCCACACCUUGGGUGAUUGAAUUUAGAUCAGAAAUUUUAAAAACAAAAUCAUUAAGACUUUAAGGAAUUUACCUAUAUCUGUGGAAUUAAAUGGAGCCAGUAGGGAAGAUAUUAUGAUAUUGGAGAAUUUCCCCUCAUUUAAGCCAAGAGUUAGACAUACCCAUAACAUUUAUGCCUAAAGUUAACACCAAGUCCGAGCUUAGCAGGUAUUGAUCAUUUACCAGCUGUAUGACCUGUAACAAAUUUCUUAACAUUUUUAUUAGUCCUAGUUUCCUCAUCAAUUAGAAAGGGGAAUGAUGCUAUGGUCAUACUUAGCUUGCAAGGUGUGAAAGCACCCUAUUACAGUGCCCUACAUAUGGUGCUUAAUAAAUGUGAUUUCUUCUUAUGGUUUUACAAUAUGAGUUCUUGAAUUUUAUAGUUUUCUAUGGUGUCUUUCAUCUUUACUAAAUGGUCCAUUUAUGUAACUUGAGCUCCUGCUGAAUCCCAAGAGACCUCAUUGUUUUUAAGUCCUUACUAAUUCCUGAUUUUUGCUUUAUCUCCUUCACCUGAAGACCAAACCCUGAACUUUUGCUUAUACCCUGUAUUACCUAUUUUGUGUGAUGUUGAUACUAAUACCUGGAAUAAAUGUGCUCACAAUGUUAUAUCAUUUCUUCACAUAGAUUUUGAUGCUCAUCUUCCUAGAAAGACUAGCCACAUCUCUCAACGGGCAAGUCUGAGGCAUCAUGAUACACAACACUUUUUCUCCUGCUCAGAUUUCUCUGGACUACACAUAUUUCUAAUUUUAGGAGUAGCUGCAAGCAGUUAGGAGUCAUGCACUCACAUAUUCAAUGGUCUGUGCCAAAGCUGUCCAUGUCUGAUAGGGUAAUGUGUACUCAGUUAUUUUAAGUUCUUUCCUUUGAAAUGAAUGCUUUACUGUUUCCACAUUUUCUGAUAUUCAGAAAUAUACUUUUCCAGACCUCUUCCUAACACAUGUCGAUUUUAAGGUCUGCACCAGAGCUCUGUUCUGCUCUUGACUGUUGAAUAUAUGUGGCUUACUUUAAAAAAAAAAUUGUGUUUGCCCAUAGAGGGGCAGGGGACCGGGGAGGAGAAGGUAGGUAAGGUAGGAUUCUGACUCCAGAUGAGCUGAUUAAAAGGUAUCUGAGAUAACUGUUUUCAAAGGUGGAAAGAGACGGCUGGAAAUCAAUGGGCAGGCAUGUUGGAAUAUAAAAGUAAUCAACAUGAACACAGGCCAUAUCAUCAAUGCUCUCUGAAUGCAAAGGGAAAGGGAACUACUAUGCUGUGGCUUCCUUCAAAUUGAUGUGUGUUUCCAAACUUAGAGGAGCAAGGGAAAUGCUUGCAGGGACUUUAACUUGAAAAAAAAUAGGCUUGUGGCAUUAACAUAGCACGCUGAGUUCUUUGGAGUCAAGGUGCUGGCUAAAUUUCUGCUGCUAAUAAAUGCUUUUAUCACAAAGUAUACCCAAUUCCACCAUCUGUGUGAUGCAUACCAAGUUUCUUUGGUUUGUAGCAAGACCAUUUUGCAUUACAGUUAUUCAAAAAAUCACUGAUCAAUUACUAAGAUGCAUCUUUAUAAGAAAUAAAUUCUUGACAUGCAUAGAAGUAUAUGGAUGGUUGAAAGUAACUUGGAAAUUGGAGUAACUGAAAUAAUUUAAUCUAAUCCAAUCAUUUCACAGGUGGGAGAGCGGAGGCCCAAGUUACUUGUCAAAGUAACUAUCAUUCUUUGACCAGUAUUAACAUCUGUGUGUCCUGAUACCUACUCGAAGUCAAACUAUGACAUGAUAAUAUCUGUACACCAAUCACACAGAAAUGAACUAGAGGUGAUAUAGUUUAGACAUCCCUUCCAAAUCUCAUGUUGAAAUGUAAUACCCAGUGUUGGAGGUGGGGUCUAGUGGGAGGCGGAUCCCUCAUGGCUUGGUGUUCUCCUUGCAAUAGUGAGUACUUGCAAGAUCUGGUUAAGUCUGUGGCACCUCUCCCCACCUCACUCUCUCUUGCUCCCACUCUGCCAUGAGAGAUGUCUGCUCCCACUUCGCUUUCUGCCAUGAAUAAAAGCUCCUUGAGGCCUCCCCAGAAGCCAAACAGAUGCCAGUGCCUUGCUUCCUGUACAGCCUGCGGAACUGGACACUGGAUUUUGUGGAUGCUCCUUGGACACACUGGAAUGCACCUUGGGUAGCCCAUGGAUCAUUUUCCCCAGUAUGAAGCAUGGGAGGAGCUGGAAAAUGAACUCAUGAGCCGGUUGAGCCAGCACAACAAGCUGGAGCCAGGAGUCUGGCUGGGCUAGCUUUUAUCUUGUGCUCCCUGGAACCCUGACUGGAUGAUUUCUGAAGUCGAGCUGGAGCCCAUCUAGAGAGAAGGAUAUGCAGCUGGGAGUGAGUGUCCAGCCAACAGCCUGUGUCUCAGGCUCUGCCAGGGGAUGAAUCAAUUAGCAAGAGAAGCAAUGAUGCAAAUGCUCCGGGGUCACUUGGGAUGCUGUUUGCCUUUUUGAUAGAGAAAGCACGCCAUAAAUAACAUCACACAUCAGGAAAUCAUUCCAGGAGGCCCCGAUGCCGGCAGGGCUGCUGCCGGGGAUGGAAGGAAUCAUUUGCUCAUUGUGUGUAUUUCCCCCAGCUCAGUCAAUGGGAGAUUUGUAGUAAAAUCAAAGUAUUUAAAAGGAGGACAGUAUGUGGUAACAGAGGCAUGUUUAGUAAUUUUUUUAGUACCAGAACCUGUAAUUUAUGACCCAGAGUUACAGCCAACUUUAUUACAAAAAUGACUUCACCCAUAAUAACCUUAUUCAGGGCCCCCUGGAGAAUGAUGUAGUAUCCAACAGCAUUAUAAUCUAGCAAAUAUUCAAACACAAUUCCCGCCUCCGCCUCAUUUCCAACCAACCCCUCAGAAGCAGGCUUCCCCCUUUACCUGCUGGGAGAAGUGGGGUCCUGGGCAAGGCUUUGUGCUCUGUCUGUGGGAGUUUGCUUGGAUCAGGCAUUUAUACUAAGCCAGGACAGAAGGCCACCUCCUGGGGUCUCAGUCAUAUCUUGUCCAACCUUGUCCCCUGAGGAGUAAUGAGCAGAAGACACCCACUCACCCUUCAUUUCCUCUCUGUGCUGAAACUUCUUUCCUCCCUGCGUCCCCCCACCUGGAGGCAGAGCUCAGAUCCCCACCACCUGAAAGGAGCUCCAGUAAGCUCCCUGACAUUUUUAAUUGCCAUGGUAACUGAGAGCUGCACUAAAACCGCCAGGGCUGGGUGUCCAAGCAGGGUCCCCUGGGCGUACCGGAAUCUAGAAACUAGCCCUCCAUCUUAUUAAACUCCGGUGUCAGUUCCCAGCAAUUGUUUUAAAUUUACACCCUCAGAGUGGCUUAGUGGGAUUACAUGUCCAUUUGCAUUAAAACAGGUUUCUGUCAUUAAACUGCCAUACAAUAAGCUUCCGUGGGACAAAUUAAUGAGCUCUAAAUAUCAUCAAGUAGAAGUUCACCUCAAGACAGGCAACAAGGAGGGGGGGGGCGGAAGGAAGUGGCUGCUCAGAAUCUCAUGGCCCAGGAGAACGAUAAGUGCCAACUAAAGAAGGGUCUUGUCCUGUUUCUUCACUGCACGAUAAGUGGUCCUGAUUUAGAGCCGACUGGGGAGAUUUGGCAAUAUUCUCCCUGUUCGCCAAAAUCCUAUAGCUCAUCUUCUCCUAUGCCCUCUUCCAAAUAUGACUUUACCCUUGACUUUGCUGAAAUUUGCUGAUGAAA